CGACAUAGUGGCAGACGGGUGAGUAACGCGUGGGAACGUGCCUUUCACUACGGAAUAGCUCUUGGAAACGAGUGGUAAUACCGUAUACGCCCUCCGGGGGAAAGAUUUAUCGGUGAAAGAUCGGCCCGCGUUAGAUUAGCUUGUUGGUGAGGUAAUGGCCCACCAAGGCGACGAUCUAUAGCUGGUCUGAGAGGAUGAUCAGCCACACUGGGACUGAGACACGGCCCAGACUCCUACGGGAGGCAGCAGUGGGGAAUCUUGCACAAUGGGCGAAAGCCUGAUGCAGCCAUGCCGCGUGAAUGAUGAAGGCCUUAGGGUUGUAAAAUUCUUUCGCUAGGGAUGAUAAUGACAGUACCUAGUAAAGAAGCACCGGCUAACUUCGUGCCAGCAGCCGCGGUAAUACGAAGGGUGCUAGCGUUGUUCGGAAUUACUGGGCGUAAAGCGCACGCAGGCGGUUGUUUAAGCUAGAUGUGAAAGCCCCGGGCUCAACCUGGGAAUAGCAUUUAGAACUGGGCAACUAGAGUCUUGGAGAGGGGAGUGGAAUUCCAGGUGUAGCGGUGAAAUGCGUAGAUAUCUGGAGGAACAUCAGUGGCGAAGGCGACUCCCUGGCCAAA
rnacentral:rRNA from 1 species